rnacentral:tRNA from 1 species
GACAUGGUGGCUGAGUGGUAAAGCACUUGGCUUCAAACCAAGAGGUCUUGGGUUUGAAUCUCAGUGAAGACU